GAGCAGAACAUCUCUCUGGCAUACAGAAGUUACUCCGAUCACAUCUGAGGCUACACUUAGACUCCUCAUCCUCUAGAUGGACUCUCUUCUUUCUACUACUAAAGACCACCAUGGUUUCAGUCUCAUGUCAUGUCCAUGAAGCUGUGUUGUUCACAUCUUCAUUCCUGUUAUGGCCAACAUCAAUAUUCAUUAUGAUACCUACUACUUUAAUUUGAGGACUAUAUAUAGUUUAGGAUAGCCUCAGAUAGCCUCAUAAUUAUAGAGAAAGCUGGAAAAUGGUUUGCCUUGGAUUAUGAUUUCUGUUUCUAUCACACUGAACUUGGCCUUUAAAGGUCUCAAAACCCAAA